rnacentral:rRNA from 1 species
AUAUUGCACAAUGGGGGAAACCCUGAUGCAGCGACGCAGCGUGCGGGAUGACGGCCUUCGGGUUGUAAACCGCUUUCAGCAGGGAAGAAGCCCCUCGGGGUGACGGUACCUGCAGAAGAAGUACCGGCUAACUACGUGCCAGCAGCCGCGGUAAUACGUAGAGUACAAGCGUUGUCCGGAAUUAUUGGGCGUAAAGAGCUCGUAGGUGGUUGGUCACGUCUGCUGUGGAAACGCAACGCUUAACGUUGCGCGUGCAGUGGGUACGGGCUGACUAGAGUGCAGUAGGGGAGUCUGGAAUUCCUGGUGUAGCGGUGAAAUGCGCAGAUAUCAGGAGGAACACCGGUGGCGAGGGCGGGACUCUGGGCUGUAACUGACACUGAGGAGCGAAAGCAUGGGGAGCGAAC